CUGGCUCAGGACGAACGCUGGCGGCGUGCCUAAUACAUGCAAGUCGAGCGGAUGAUAAAGGAGCUUGCUCCUUUAGAUUCAGCGGCGGACGGGUGAGUAACACGUGGGCAACCUGCCUGUAAGACUGGGAUAACUUCGGGAAACCGGAGCUAAUACCGGAUAACUCUUCGAACCUCAUGGUUCGAAAGGAUAAAAGAUGGUUUCGGCUAUCACUUAUCAGAUGGGCCCGCGGACGCAUUAGCUA
rnacentral:rRNA from 1 species